AUGGAUGCAAGUCUGACCCAGCCAUGCCGCGUGCCGGAUGAAGGCCCUCAGGGUUGUAAACGGCUUUUAUUCGGGAAGAAGACAAGGGAUGCGUCCUUGUGUGACGGUACCGAAUGAAUAAGCACCGGCUAACUCCGUGCCAGCAGCCGCGGUAAUACGGAGGGUGCGAGCGUUGUCCGGAUUUUAUUGGGUUUAAAGGGUGCGUAGGUGGCUGUUUAAGUCAGUGGUGAAAUACGGUUGCUCAACAAUCGAGGUGCCAUUGAUACUGAAUAGCUUGAAAUAAUUGGAGGCUGCCGGAAUGGAUGGUGUAGCGGUGAAAUGCAUAGAUAUCAUCCAGAACACCGAUUGCGAAGGCAGGUGGCUACGAUUGGUUUGACACUGAGGCACGAAAGCAUGGGGAGCAAACAGGAUUAGAUACCCUGGUAGUCCAUGCUGUAAACGAUGAGGACUCGUUGUUUGGCUGCAAAGCUGAGCGACUUAGGGAAACCGUUAAGUCCUCCACCUGGGGAGUACGCCGGCAACGGUGAAACUCAA
rnacentral:rRNA from 1 species